CCAUCUUUCUCGGCCAAUUGGCUUUGAUCGAGUGUAGUAUCUUUUCUUUUCAGUUUAAUAGCUGAAAGCAGCUCACGGGUUGCAUCUACUAUUAACUCAAUUUUUUGUAGGGAUCAGGGUUUGAGCUUAAUUGCUCACUUUGAUUUGGUUUCAAUCAGACAUUGCACAAACCGUCAGAUUAGGAGCCACCUAAC
rfam:Naegleria gruberi genomic scaffold NAEGRscaffold_29, whole genome shotgun sequence.